GACGAACCGUGCAAACGUUAUUCGGAAUCACUGGGCUUAAAGAGUCCGUAGGCGGCGCGUUAGGUGGGGUGUGAAAUCCCUCGGCUCAACCGAGGAAUUGCGCUCCAAACCGGCGUGCUUGAGGAAGGUAGAGGUGAGCGGAACUGAUGGUGGAGCGGUGAAAUGCGUUGAUAUCAUCAGGAACACCGGAGGCGAAGGCGGCUCACUGGGCCUUAUCUGACGCUGAGGGACGAAAGCUAGGGUAGCGAACGGG
rnacentral:rRNA from 1 species